AAUCAACGCUGGCGGCGUGCCUAACACAUGCAAGUCGAACGCGAAAGCCCCGCAAGGGGUAAGUAGAGUGGCAAACGGGUGAGUAACACGUGGGUGACCUGCCUUCGAGUGGGGGAUAACGUCCCGAAAGGGACGCUAAUACCGCAUAACAUCCUGCUUUUGAAAAAGCGGAGAUCAAAGCUGGGGAUCGCAAGACCUAGCGCUUGAAGAGGGGCCCGCGCCUGAUUAGCUAGUUGGUGAGGUAACGGCUCACCAAGGCGACGAUCAGUAUCCGGCCUGAGAGGGCGGACGGACACACUGGGACUGAGACACGGCCCAGACUCCUACGGGAGGCAGCAGUGGGGAAUUGUUCGCAAUGGGCGCAAGCCUGACGACGCAACGCCGCGUGGAGGACGAAGAUCUUCGGGUCGUAAACUCCUGUCGAGCGGGACGAACGCUUCGCGGAUGAAUAAUCCGCGGAAUUGACGGUACCGCUAAAGGAAGCCCCGGCUAACUCCGUG
rnacentral:rRNA from 1 species